AUAUCAAUAAGCGGAGGAAAAGAAACCAACCGGGAUUGCCUUAGUAACGGCGAGUGAAGCGGCAAAAGCUCAAAUUUGAAAUCUGGUACCUUCGGUGCCCGAGUUGUAAUUUGGAGAGGGCAACUUUGGGGCCGUUCCUUGUCUAUGUUCCUUGGAACAGGACGUCAUAGAGGGUGAGAAUCCCGUGUGGCGAGGAGUGCGGUUCUUUGUAAAGUGCCUUCGAAGAGUCGAGUUGUUUGGGAAUGCAGCUCUAAGUGGGUGGUAAAUUCCAUCUAAAGCUAAAUAUUGGCGAGAGACCGAUAGCGAACAAGUACAGUGAUGGAAAGAUGAAAAGAACUUUGAAAAGAGAGUGAAAAAGUACGUGAAAUUGUUGAAAGGGAAGGGCAUUUGAUCAGACAUGGUGUUUUGUGCCCUCUGCUCCUUGUGGGUAGGGGAAUCUCGCAUUUCACUGGGCCAGCAUCAGUUUUGGUGGCAGGAUAAAUCCAUAGGAAUGUAGCUUGCCUCGGUAAGUAUUAUAGCCUGUGGGAAUACUGCCAGCUGGGACUGAGGACUGCGACGUAAGUCAAGGAUGCUGGCAUAAUGGUUAUAUGCCGCCCGUCUUGAAACACGGACC
rnacentral:rRNA from 1 species